rnacentral:rRNA from 1 species
UACAGAGGGGGCAAGCGUUGUUCGGAAUUACUGGGCGUAAAGGGCGCGUAGGCGGCCUGCUAAGUCGAACGUGAAAUCCCCGGGCUCAACCCGGGAACUGCGUCCGAUACUGGCAGGCUUGAAUCCGGGAGAGGGAUGUGGAAUUCCAGGUGUAGCGGUGAAAUGCGUAGAUAUCUGGAGGAACACCGGUGGCGAAGGCGGCAUCCUGGACCGGUAUUGACGCUGAUGCGCGAAAGCCAGGGGAGCAAACGG